rnacentral:rRNA from 1 species
UACGUAGGUGGCGAGCGUUGUCCGGAAUUACUGGGCGUAAAGCGCGCGUAGACGGCUUAGUAAGUCAGAUGUGAAAGACCCGGGCUCAACCUGGGGGCGGCAUCUGAGACUGCGUAGCUUGAGUGCAGGAGAGGCAAGUGGAAUUCCCAGUGUAGCAGUGAAAUGCGUAGAGAUUGGGAGGAACACCAGUGGCGAAGGCGACUUGCUGGACUGUAACUGACGUUGAGGUGCGAAAGCUAGGGGAGCAAAC